UACAGGGGGUGCAAACGUUGCUCGGAAUCAUUGGGCGUAAAGCGCACGUAGGCGGUUCGUUAUGUCGGAUGUGAAAGCCCUUGGCUUAACCGAGGAAGUGCAUCCGAAACUGGCGAGCUAGAGUACGAAAGAGGAUCGCGGAAUUCCCGGUGUAGAGGUGAAAUGCGUAGAUAGUCCGGAGGAACACCGGUGGCGAAGGCGGCUUCCUGGACCGACACUGACGCUGAGGCGCGAAAGCUAGGGGAGCAAACGGG
rnacentral:rRNA from 1 species